UACGUAGGGUGCAAGCGUUGUCCGGAAUUAUUGGGCGUAAAGAGCUCGUAGGCGGUCUGUUGCGUCGGCUGUGAAAACCCGGGGCUCAACUCCGGGCCUGCAGUGGGUACGGGCAGACUGGAGUGCGGUAGGGGAGAAUGGAAUUCCUGGUGUAGCGGUGGAAUGCGCAGAUAUCAGGAGGAACACCGGUGGCGAAGGCGGGUCUCUGGGCCGAUACUGACGCUGAGGAGCGAAAGCGUGGGGAGCGAACAGG
rnacentral:rRNA from 1 species